rnacentral:rRNA from 1 species
UAGGGAAUAUUGCAAAAUGGGCGAAAGCCCGAUGCAGCAACGCCGCGUGGGCGAUGAAGGCCUUCGGGUCGUAAAGCCCUUUUUGAGGGGAUGAGGAAGGACAGUACCCUCAGAAUAAGCCUCGGCUAACUACGUGCCAGCAGCCGCGGUAAAACGUAGGAGGCGAGCGUUAUCCGGAUUUACUGGGCGUAAGGCGCGUGCAGGCGGAUUGGAGAGUUGGAUGUGAAAGCUCCCGGCUUAACUGGGAGAGGUCGUUCAAUACUUCCAGUCUUGAGUGCAGUAGAGGGAAGUGGAAUUCCGGGUGUAGUGGUGAAAUGCGUAGAUAUCCGGAGGAACACCAGUGGCGAAAGCGGCUUCCUGGACUGUAACUGACGCUCAGACGCGAAAGCUAGGGUAGCAAACG